rnacentral:rRNA from 1 species
AAUGAACGCUGGCGGCAGGCCUAACACGUGCAAGUCGAACGGAUCCUUCGGGAUUAGUGGCGGACGGGUGAGUAACGCGUGGGAACAUACCCUUUGGUACGGAAUAGCCUCGGGAAACUGGGAGUAAUACCGUAUGUGGUCGAGAGACGAAAGAUUUAUCGCCAAAGGAUUGGCCCGCGUUGGAUUAGGUAGUUGGUGGGGUAAUGGCCUACCAAGCCAACGAUCCAUAGCUGGUUUGAGAGGAUGAUCAGCCACACUGGGACUGAGACACGGCCCAGACUCCUACGGGAGGCAGCAGUGGGGAAUCUUAGACACUGGGGGAAGCCCUGAUCUAGCCAUGCCGCGUGAUGGAUGAAGGCCUUAGGGUUGUAAAGAUCUUUCAGGUGGGAAGAUAAUGACUGUACCACCAGAAGAAGCCCCGGCUAACUCCGUGCCAGCCGCCGCGGUAA